rnacentral:lncRNA from 1 species
GCCAAACGUUAGCUUCUUGAAACACUGUCUCAACUGACUCAUUUAAAGGCAGUAAAAAAUGUAAAUGGUGAGUAUUGUUAAUUCAGAUUAGAAAGAGAGGUGAGUGGAACAAAAUAAUACUCAAAAGAGUGUCUGACCCUACGCUAUAUUCAAUUGUAUGUUGGCUAUGAUACAAUAUGAUAUAACAUUUAACCUGUCUAAAAAAUGUAUACUGAAGACACUAGUCAUCCCUGCCUCUACCUGACAUUGUUUAAAAACAAGUAAACACUGAAUAAAGAUCAUACACAAACAAUAGGCUCCUAGAAAAUGUUAUAUUACAUUCAAGUCUUGCUCAAAGCAGCCAACUAAAGUAAUAUAUCCAACGUUAGUUCAAUCACAGGCUGGUCUGAAUGCAUCUCCUCACAGUUUCAUUCAGUAGUACAACACAGUUUACAUUGCAUUUUAUCAUGGGCACAGUGGGAAUUUAUACCUGUGAUGUUUAAGUUAUGUCUUACCCCGAUAAGAGAGAGAGAGCGAGAGAGUACAUCACUUCCAGCAGAUCUCCUCGCUGAGGGUGGCGUUGAUCAUGCACUGCUUCUUGUGAGGCUCGAUGUGCUGUAGUCUCCACAACUGGACGCUCGCAGUCGGAUCACACUGACACAGGAUGUCCAUGCGCUGGAUGGCCUUAGGGAUGCACUCCUGUUGGACUGGAAAACAAAGAGACAUUUGUCUGGGUCUGCCUCUUCUGCCAUGGUGGAUGAGCUACCUUUUCUGACAGCCUUUACAGAAUCCCCCACCAAAAACGGACCAAGCAGCGGAGGAAGAAGAAGCACCAGGAGAGGGGUAAUAUGGACUCAUAGACUUUGGAGAGGUGCGUUCAGGAUUCCUGGAGAUGGGAGGAAUUUCUCGACGGAGGUGGACCGUGGGCUCAGGCUGGGGAGUAUUGCCGCCCGCAGUGGGAGAUCGAGGCGGUGAUAGCUGAGAGGCGCUGGUACGAAGCAAGGGAGCACAACAGGCAUGAGACGCAGCCCCCCAAAAAAUUUUUGGGGGGCACACGGGGAGUGUGGCAGAGCCAGGAUUUAAUUCUGGGCCAACUCCCCGUGCUUACAGGAGGCAGCGCAGUACUGGUCAGGCACCGUGUUAUGCGGUACAGCGCACGGUGCCCCCAGUAUGCGUUGAUAGCCCGGAGCGCUACAUGCCAGCCCCCCGCAAGUGCCAUGCGAGAGCAGGCAUCGAGCCAGGACGGAUUGUGCCAGCUCAGCGUGUCUGGUCUCCAGUGUGCCGUUUCGGUCCAGGCUAUCCUGCGCCGGCUCUGCGCACUGUGUCUCCAGGACGCUGGGAGGGCUCAGUUCACCCAAUGCCUGCGCUUUGCCCGUGCCGGGCAAAAGUGGGCAUUCAGCCUGGAGUUUGGGUCGCAAGCCUACACACCAGAACUCCAGUGCUCCCCCACAAUUCGGUUUAUCCUGUGCCUCCUCCUCGGACCAGGCCUCCAGUGAGUCGCCCAAGCCUGGUUUAUCCUGUGCCUCCUCCCAGGACCAGGCCUCCUGUGGGUCUCUCCAGCCUGGUUUAUCCUGUGCCUCCUCCCAGGACCAGGCCUCCUGUGGGUCUCUCCAGCCUGGUCUAUCCUGUGCCUCCUCCCAGGACCAGGCCUCCUGUGGGUCUCCCCAGCCUGGUGAGUCCAGUGCCUGCGCCCAGAGCCAGGCCUCCUUCAUGUCUCCCCAGCCUGGUGAGUCCUGGGCCAGAGCCGCCAGAGCCGCCCGCCAGUCUGGAACCACCAGAACCGCCCGCCAGUCUGGAGCCGCCAGAGCCGCCCGCCAGUCUGGUGAGUCC